AAACCUGAAAGUUUCCUUUCUCUAAUCUCCCUGCAGCACUGGAAGCAGAACCAGCCCUGCUAACUCAAGAUGAUUAUUACAGUAAUGUACUGCAGAGCAUAACAAACUUCGAAAUGUACUGAGUGACCCAAAAGCCAUAUCACACUUCUCAGCAUGUUACUGAAAACCUGCCAAAGGUGUUGAAGGCAACCCUCAAUACAGAAAACUGCAAGAAAUCUCCCAAUAGCAGAAGAAGAGAGCAGAAGUGCAGCAAACAUCUCCCAAUAGCAGAAGGCAGGGAGAAGGUAUAACAAAUUAAAGAGGAUCUGAACUCAAGAUUCAUCACAACAGCAUGAGAGAUAAUGACAUCAACAUCUCAAGAGGAAGCAGGGAGGUGUCCUUCCUUGCCUUGUCAAACUCUUGCAGGAUGAACAAGAACCCUGACCUCAGGUCCCAGUAGACAAGUAAAAACUAAAUUUUCAAAUGCAUUGUGUUUUAUAUUUGUCAUUUUAAAAAUUGACUACAUAUUCUGUUAUUUCUAGUCUACUCCUGAGAAAUGCUGAAGACUCAACAACUGCCAUCAAUAGCUUAAAAUUGACAGAUCAAGAGGAAAAAGGCAAAGAAUUACCCAGUAACGCUACCAAAGGAUUUUCAGUUUGCACUUCAAAUUGUGGCAUCUUUUCAAAAAAGCUCAUCUAGUAACCUACAAAAUGUGCUAAACCUAUGUUUCCAGAUAUUUUUCAUAACUUUA